rnacentral:rRNA from 1 species
UACGGAGGGUGCGAGCGUUGUCCGGAAUCAUUGGGCGUAAAGCGCGCGUAGGCGGCCCGGUAAGUCCGUUGUGAAAGUCAAAGGCUCAACCUUUGAAAGCCGAUGGAUACUGCCGGGCUGGAGUCCGGAAGAGGCGAGUGGAACUCCUGGUGUAGCGGUGGAAUGCGCAGAUAUCAGGAGGAACACCAACGGCGAAGGCAGCCCGCUGGGACGGUACUGACGCUAAGGCGCGAAAGCGUGGGGAGCGAACGAGG